rnacentral:lncRNA from 12 species
ACCGUCUGAUGAAGGACUGAGUCCAGCCUUGGUACAGUGUGGGCCACGGAGAAAUUCCCUCAGCUAAUGUUUAUGGACCAGAACUGAUGGCGCCAGAUUUGGCUAGUGCGCAUGCAGCCCCACCAAAAGGCACGGAGAUGAACAAGAGGAUGUUCCCAGCCAGAUAAUUGUGAGAAGCUCCACCGGCCAGCAACAGAACUAACAUCAAAGAAGCCACUCCUUUCCAGGAAC